UAAAAUAAAUUAUAUGUCUCGGAGAAUUUUGGUUCCGGCCGCUAGAUUUUAGUUCCGCCGAUUUGUUUCCCGGUGGGACCCAUUUUGCUGUAACACCCACAAGCUGUUUUCUCAACCUCUCUGAAACGAACGUGCCUCGUGUAGCAGCAACUGGUGGAGGAGUCAGUCGAAGUCAUGUCCACACAACCUACCCAUGAACCAGGGCCGUGAGAUUUGGAGUCAUUGAUCCAGUAACACAACCCACUCAAGGCACUUCGCAAGAUGCCAACAGACGAUGCCAACAGACGAGGCAGCCGAACACCAACCCUGGGUUCAGUGGGCCCCCUGCAGACAUAUCCAGAUCAAGAUCAGACCCACCUACCCAACCCCAGCUGAAAGAGUACCCAAGAACAGCCUUCGGUGCAAGACAAAGAAAUUUCAGUCCUUCGUGGUAUGGUCUGUACACAUGGAUUGAAUACUCCCAGUCCAAGGACGCUGUUUAUUGUUACGCCUGUAGGCACUUUAGCCUUCCCAACGUAGACACUACUUUCACAGUACUUUCUUUUUACUGCAGA